rnacentral:rRNA from 1 species
AACGAACGCUGGCGGCAUGCCUAACACAUGCAAGUCGAACGAGACCUUCGGGUCUAGUGGCGCACGGGUGCGUAACGCGAGGGAACCUGCCCUUAGGUUCGGAACAACUCCCCGAAAGGGGUGCUAAUACCGGAUAACGUCUUCGGACCAAAGUUUUAUCGCCUUUGGAUGUGCCCGCGUUGGAUUAGCUAGUUGGUAGGGUAAAAGCCUACCAAGGCGACGAUCCAUAGCUGGUCUGAGAGGAUGAUCAGCCACACUGGGACUGAGACACGGCCCAGACUCCUACGGGAGGCAGCAGUGGGGAAUAUUGGACAAUGGGCGAGAGCCUGAUCCAGCAAUGCCGCGUGAGUGAUGAAGGCCUUAGGGUUGUAGAGCUCUUUUACCCGGGAUGAUAAUGACAGUACCGGGAGAAUAAGCUCCGGCUAACUCCGUG